rnacentral:rRNA from 1 species
UAACAGGAUUAGAUACCCUGGUAGUCCACGCCGUAAACGAUGUCUACUCGGAGUUUGGUGUCUUGAACACUGGGCUCUCAAGCUAACGCAUUAAGUAGACCGCCUGGGGAGUACGGCCGCAAGGUUAAAACUCAAAUGAAUUGACGGGGGCCCGCACAAGCGGUGGAGCAUGUGGUUUAAUUCGAUGCAACGCGAAGAACCUUACCUACUCUUGACAUCCAGAGAAUUCGCUAGAGAUAGCUUAGUGCCUUCGGGAACUCUGAGACAGGUGCUGCAUGGCUGUCGUCAGCUCGUGUCGUGAAAUGUUGGGUUAAGUCCCGCAACGAGCGCAACCCCUAUCCUUAUUUGCCAGCACGUAAUGGUGGGAACUCUAGGGAGACUGCCGGUGAUAAACCGGAGGAAGGUGGGGGCGACGUCAAGUCAUCAUGGCCCUUACGAGUAGGGCUACACACGUGCUACAAUGGCGAGUACAGAGGGUUGCAAAGCCGCGAGGUGGAGCUAAUCUCACAAAGCUCGUCGUAGUCCGGAUUGGAGUCUGCAACUCGACUCCAUGAAGUCGGAAUCGCUAGUAAUCGUGGAUCAGAAUGCCACGGUGAAUACGUUCCCGGGCCUUGUACACACCGCCCGUCACACCAUGGGAGUGGGCUGCAAAAGAAGUGGGUAGCUUAACCUUCGGGGGGGCGCUCACCACUUUGUGGUUCAUGACUGGGGUGAAGUCGUAACAAGGUAACCA